UACAAGUCUCUUGUGACCUGGAGAG
rnacentral:piRNA from 1 species